rnacentral:misc_RNA from 1 species
AUAAUUUCUGAUGAGUUACUCAUAAAUCAGCCCAAAAAUAUGAAAAAAAAAAGAGAGAAAUUUAAUUUUGGAAAAUAGUAAGAGAGUUGCAGAGAUUUUAGUCUGACAAAGGGCUUUCCCUUGUGUGAAGAGACUGAUCAUCCAAAUCCCAUUGAUUUAUUCAUCAUUCAUACAUAUAGACAGUGCAGAUGAGAUGAUCAUGAAGCACGUGCACACUCAGAUUUCCAUCACAACAGCAGGCG